GACGAACGCUGGCGGCGUGCUUAACACAUGCAAGUCGAACGGAAAGGCCCUGCUCUUGCGGGGUGCUCGAUAGGCGAACGGGGGAGUAAAACGUGAGUAACCUGCCCUUGACAUUGGGAUAAAUUCAGGAAACAGGGGAUAAUACCGGAUAGGAGCUCCUGCUGCAUGGGGGGGGUUGGAAAGUGUCGGCGGUUGUGGCUGGACUCGCGGCUUAUCAGCUUGUUGGUGGGGUAGUGGCAUACCAGGGCUUUGACGGGUAGCCGGCCUGAGAGGGUGACCGGCCUCCUUGGGCCUGCGAUACGGCCCAGACUGCUACGGGAGGCAGCGGUCGGGAGUCUUGCACAAUGGGCCGGAGCCUGAUGCAGCAACCCCCCGUUCGUGAUGCCGUCCUUCGGGUUGUAAACCUCUUUCUCCUUUGCCGAAGCGUGCGUGACGGUAACUAGUCAAGAAGCACCGGCUAACUACGUG
rnacentral:rRNA from 1 species